GACGAACGCUGGCAGCGUGCUUAACACAUGCAAGUCGAACGGAAAGGCCCCUUUGGGGGUACUCGAGUGGCGAACGGGUGAGUAACACGUGAGUAACCUGCACUUGACUUCGGGACAACUUCAGGAAACUGGGGCUAAUACCGGAUAGGAAUCAUUUCUGCAUGGGGGGGGUUGGAAAGCUUCGGCGGUUUUGGCUGGGUUGGCGGGUUAUCGGCUUGUUGGGGGGGUAGUGGCUUACCGAGGCGGUGUCGCGUAGCGGGCCUGAGUGGGCGACCGGCGACACUGAGACUGAGAUACGGCCCAGACAGCGACGGGUGGGAGCAGUGCGGAAUCCUGAACGAGGGGCGGAGGCCUGAUGAUGCAAGUCCGCGUGCGGGAUGACGCUCUUCGGGUGGAAAACCGCUUGCAGCAGUGGCUAAGCUUGUGGUGACGGUACCUGCAGAAGAAGCACCGGCUAACUACGUG
rnacentral:rRNA from 1 species